ACCCGCUGAACUUAAGCAUAUCAAUAAGCGGAGGAAAAGAAACCAACAGGGAUUGCCCUAGUAACGGCGAGUGAAGCGGCAACAGCUCAAAUUUGAAAUCUGGCGCAAGCCCGAGUUGUAACUUGUAGAGGAUGCUUCUAGGUAGCGACCGGUCUAAGUUCCUUGGAACAGGACGUCAUAGAGGGUGAGAAUCCCGUAUGUGACUGGCCCGCACCUUCUACGUAGCUCCUUCGACGAGUCGAGUUGUUUGGGAAUGCAGCUCUAAAUGGGAGGUAAAUUUCUUCUAAAGCUAAAUACCGGCCAGAGACCGAUAGCGCACAAGUAGAGUGAUCGAAAGAUGAAAAGCACUUUGGAAAGAGAGUUAAAAAGCACGUGAAAUUGUUGAAAGGGAAGCGCUCACAACCAGACUUCUAGGCAGUGUUCCGCCGGUCUUUUGACCGGUCUACUCUCUGUCUCGAGGCCAACAUCAUCUGGGACCGCCGGAUAAGACCUUAGGAAUGUAGCUCCCCUCGGGGAGUGUUAUAGCCUCUGGUGAUGCGGCGCGUCUCGGGUGAGGUCCGCGCUUCGGCAAGGAUGUUGGCGUAAUGGUUGUCAGCGGCCCGUCUUGAAACACGGACCAAGGAGUCUAACAUCUAUGCGAGUGUUCGGGUGUCAAACCCCUACGCGUAAUGAAAGUGAACGGAGGUGGGAAGCGUAAGCUGCACCAUCGACCGAUCCUGAUGUCCUCGGAUGGAUUUGAGUAAGAGCAUAGCUGUUGGGACCCGAAAGAUGGUGAACUAUGCCUGAAUAGGGUGAAGCCAGAGGAAACUCUGGUGGAGGCUCGCAGCGGUUCUGACGUGCAAAUCGAUCGUCAAAUUUGGGUAUAGGGGCGAAAGACUAAUCGAACCAUCUAGUAGCUGGUUCCUGCCGAAGUUUCCCUCA
rnacentral:rRNA from 1 species